rnacentral:tRNA from 1 species
GGGGAUAUAGCUCAGUGGGUAGAGUGCUUGCCUUGUAUGCACAAGGUCCUGGGUUCAAUCCCCAGCACCACCA